UCAAGUCACGGAUGGACUUUAACAGCACUGGUCGGGAUGGGUUUCACGACCCCUCGGGUUUCUUGCUUCCUAAAAGCAAGUGGUGCGGGUGAAG
rfam:Prochlorococcus phage Syn1, complete genome.